UCCGAGUUGACCCCGGCAGUCUCCUACGAGUCCCCGGCUUUACCCGCUGGCAACAUAGGACAAGGGUUGCGCUCGUUGCGGGACUUAACCCAACAUCUCACGACACGAGCUGACGACAGCCGUGCACCACCUGUGUAGGGCCCCGAAGGACACCGUAUCUCUACGGCUUUUCCCUACAUGUCAAACCCAGGCAAGGUUCUUCGCGUUGCCUCGAAUUAAGCAACAUGCUCCGCCGCUUGUGCGGGCCCCCGUCAAUUCCUUUGAGUUUUAAUCUUGCGACCGUACUCCCCAGGCGGAAUGCUUAAAGCGUUAGCUGCGCCACUGACGGCGUGGAAUACCGCCUACACCUAGCACCCACCGUUUACGGCGUGGACUAC
rnacentral:misc_RNA from 1 species